GCGGGAGGCUUAACACAUGCAAGUCGAGGGGCAGCACGGGUAGCAAUACCUGGUGGCGACCGGCAGACGGGUGAGUAACGCGUAUGUAACCUACCCUGUACAGGGGGAUAACCCGGAGAAAUUCGGACUAAUAUCCCAUAGAAAUAUUGGAAGGCAUCUUUUGAUAUUUAAAGUUCCGGCGGUACGGGAUGGGCAUGCGUAACAUUAGCUAGUUGGUAAGGUAACGGCUUACCAAGGCUUUGAUGUUUAGGGGUCCUGAGAGGGUGGUCCCCCACACUGGUACUGAGACACGGACCAGACUCCUACGGGAGGCAGCAGUGAGGAAUAUUGGUCAAUGGGCGCAAGCCUGAACCAGCCAUCCCGCGUGCAGGAAGACGGCCCUAUGGGUUGUAAACUGCUUUUCCAGGGGGAGAAACUUGCGCACGUGUUGCGCAAUUGACGGUACCCUGGGAAUAAGCAUCGGCUAACUCCGUGCCAGCAGCCGCGGUAAUACGGAGGAUGCGAGCGUUAUCCGGAUUCAUUGGGUUUAAAGGGUGCGUAGGCGGACUAUUAAGUCAGUGGUGAAAUCCUGCAGCUUAACUGCAGAACUGCCAUUGAUACUGAUAGCCUUGAGUUUGGUUAAGGUAGGCGGAAUGUGUAAUGUAGCGAUGAAAUGCUUAGAUAUUACACAGAACACCAAUUGCGUAGGCAGCUUACUGAGCCGACACUGACGCUGAGGCACGAAAGCGUGGGGAUCGAACAGGAUUAGAUACCCUGGUAGUCCACGCCGUAAACGAUGAUUACUCGCUGUUGGCGAUACACUGUCAGCGGCUAAGCAAAAGCAAUAAGUAAUCCACCUGGGGAGUACGGCCGCAAGGUUGAAACUCAAAUGAAUUGACGG
rnacentral:rRNA from 1 species